ensembl:lncRNA FAM86EP family with sequence similarity 86, member A pseudogene
AGCAAAGUUAAGAGACUCAUCAGAUUCUGAGCUGCGGCGGGAUAUUUUGCAGAAGACUGUGAAGCAUCCUGUGUGUGUGAAGCACCCGCCGUCAGUCAAGUAUGCCCGGUGCUUUCUCUCAGAACUCAUGAAAAAGCCCUCGGGAGGCUCGGUCACACUCUCCAAGAGCACAGCCAUCAUCUCCCACGGCACCACAGGCCUGGUCACAUGGGACGCUGCCCUCUACCUUGCAGAAUGGGCCGAGAACCCAGCAGCCUUCACUCACAGGACUGUCCUAAAGCUUGGCAGUGGCGCCGGCCUCACAGGCCUGGCCAUCUGCAAGAUGUGCCGCCCCCGGGCGUACAUCUUCAGCGACUGUCACAGCCGGGUCCUCGAGCAGCUCCGAGGGAAUGUCCUUCUCAAUGGCCUCUCAUUAGAGGCAGACAUCACUGCCAACUUAGACGGCCCCAGGGUGACAGUGGCCCAGCUGGACUGGGACGUCGCGACGGUCUGUCAGCUCUCUGCCGUCCAGCCAGAUGUUGUCAUUGCAGCAGGUAAUGCCCAGCCCCGGGCAUCCUGUGCAGGCGGUGUCCUUGCAGCUCUACCCAGCUCUUGGCUCUGGGAAAAGGGAACAAUGGAUGCUGUCAGGCAUGGACAUGAUGGGGCUUCCAGAAGAGUUACUCUGGGCCUCCAGGCUGACAUCAAAGGACAGGGGUGCCUCUUAAGGUGACCUUCAAGCCACAGCCCUCUUGCUGGAGACAGGCAUACUCCC